AUGACCUCCAGUAGCUCUGUAGGCUCCGUUUCCAUGAUGGGCAGCAAUGCAUGCUGCAGCUGGCUCCUGCAAGAGACCCCAGCUAAGCGCAUGGUGGGGAAGCAGCAAGGACUAAAUGAAGCUCAUCAUGCUCACUGCCUGCCACUGAGGGCUUCCAGUUGUGGCAUGUGGGACGCUGCCUCAGCGUGGUUCGACGAGCAGUGUCAUGUCCGCGCCCAGGAUUCGAACCAACGAAACACUGGGCCGCCUGCAGCGGAGCGCGCAAACUUAACCACUCUGCCACGGGGCCAGCCCCCCUUCCGGGGCCCUUUUGCUGCUGGAUGAGCCUGGUUCUCAGAUUGACAGGAAGAUUAGCCCUGAGCUAACUGCUGCCAAUCCUCCUCUUUUUGCUGAGGAAGACUGGCCCUGAGCUAACAUCCGUGCCCAUCUUCCUCUACUUUAUACGUGGGAUGCCUACCACGGCAUGGCUUUUGCCAAGCGAUGCCAUGUCUGCACCCGGAAUCCGAACCGGCGAACCUGGGCCGCAGAGAAUCGGAACAUGAGAACUUAACUGCUGGCCACUGGGCCGACCCUCAGAGUAGCAAAUAUCUGCGACAAGGAAGAAAAGAAGAUGUCUCAGAGACAAACCACAUCCGCUUUUCCACUUCGACAUGAAAGUGUGCAUGGAGCAGAGGAGAAGCAAAUAGCAAAGCAAACAAGCUUCUCGAGACUGACGAUGUGGUGGUGCUAUCCUGGAUUAGGAGGAGUCCUUCUUCCUGAUUGCCUACUACUGUUAAGAGCACUAAAGUAAGCUUUCCUGGCUGAUGAAGUCCAGCACACAAUGACCCCCCGCUACAUAGUUGUAUAUUCUUCGUUGUGUGUCCAUCUAGUUGUGGCACGUGGGACGCUGCCUCAGCGUGGCUUGACGAGCAGUGUCAUGUCCGCGCCCAGGAUCCGAACCAACGAAACACUGGGCCGCCUGCAGCAGAGCGCGCGAACUUAACCGCUCAACCACGGGGCCAGCCCCCCUACUUCAACUCUUCAUCUCACAGAUGUAAGAUAACUGAGACCAAAGCAGAGUCUUUGGUUUGGUCACUCACC
rnacentral:lncRNA from 1 species